GACGAACCGUCCAAACGUUAUUCGGAAUCACUGGGCUUAAAGGGUGCGUAGGCGGCGCGGAAAGUUGGGUGUGAAAUCCCUCGGCUCAACCGAGGAAUUGCGCCCAAAACUUCCGUGCUCGAGGAAGAUAGAGGUGAGCGGAACUUAGGGUGGAGCGGUGAAAUGCGUUGAUAUCCUAAGGAACACCGGUGGCGAAAGCGGCUCACUGGGAUCUUUUCUGACGCUGAGGCACGAAAGCUAGGGUAGCGAACGGG
rnacentral:rRNA from 1 species